rnacentral:rRNA from 1 species
CCUACGGGUGACAGCAGUGGGGAAUAUUGCACAAUGGGGGGAACCCUGAUGCAGCGACGCCGCGUGGGCGAAGGAGUCUUUCGGUAUGUCAACCCCUAUCAGCAGGGAAGAACAAUGACGGUACCUGACUAAGAAGCACCGGCCAAAUACGUGCCAGCAGCCGCGGUAAUCCGGAUGGUGCAAGCGUUUUCCGGAUUUACUGGGGUUAAAGGGAGCGCAGGCGGCGCGUUAAGCCUGGUGGGAAAGCCCGGGGCCCAACCGCGGGACUGCAUUGGGAACUGGCGGGCUGGAGUGCCGGAGGGGUAGGAGGAAUUCCUAGUGUAGCGGUGAAAUGCGUAGAUAUUAGGAGGAACACCAGUGGCGAAGGCGGGCUACUGGACGGUGACUGACGCUGAGGCGCGAAAGCGUGGGGAGCAAACAGGAUUAGAUACCCCAGUAGUC